rnacentral:rRNA from 1 species
AUCGAACGCUGGCGGCAUGCCUAACACAUGCAAGUCGAACGAGUGGCGGACGGGUGAGUAAUGUCUUGGAAACUGCCCGACGGAGGGGGAUAACUACUGGAAACGGUAGCUAAUACCGCAUACCAUCGUAUGUGCCCAGGUGGGAUUAGCUAGUCGGUGGGGUAAAGGCUCACCAAGGCGACGAUCCCUAGCUGGUCUGAGAGGAUGAGCAGCCACACUGGGACUGAGACACGGUCCAGACUCCUACGGGAGGCAGCAGUGGGGAAUAUUGGGCAAUGGGCGAAAGCCUGAGACAGCCAUGCCGCGUGAAUGAAGAAGGCCUUCGGGUUGUAAAGCACUUUCAGCGGGGAGGCGUUAUCCACACAGGAAGCACCGGCUAACUCCGUGCCAGCAGCCGCGGUAAUUC